rnacentral:rRNA from 1 species
AUGCAGAACAGGGUUUGGACCGUGGACCGGCUGUCCAAGCGGGAUUGGCCAAACUGUGUCCCUUGCCCUCUUUGCAAGCAGGUCCAGGAGUCCGUCGACCACCUUCUCUUCAACUGUAGGUUCACGGUCAGAGUUUGGGGCAUGCUCAAGGCAUGGUUGCAGCUUGAUCACCUUGACACCUGUUCCCGGCACCUCUUUCGGUCCACUAGGGAAUGGUGGAUUGGGCUCUCAGACAAUUCGGUGCCAAAUAGGAAGGCCAUGGCCUCCCUUGUCAUGCUAGCCUCCUGGACCAUCUGGAAUGAGCGAAAUGCUCGCGUCUUCCAUCAAAAACGCGCCGCCAAUGGUUCUCCUAGAUAA